UGCAAGUCGAAUGCUUAGCUUGCUAAGCAUGGCGGACGGGUGAGUAACACGUAGGUAAUGUACCCCCCAGUCACGGAUAAGCACCUUCGGGUGUGAAUACGCGAUACGCCUAGCGGUGAAAGAUUUAUCGCUGGGGGAUCAGCCUGCGGCCCAUUAGCUUGUUGGUAAGGUAACGGCUUACCAAGGCUACGAUGGGUAGCUGGUCUGAGAGGAUGAUCAGCCACACUGGGACUGAGACACGGCCCAGACUCCUACGGGAGGCAGCAGUAGGGAAUAUUGGACAAUGGGGGAAACCCUGAUCCAGCUACGCCGCGUGAGUGAUGAAGGCCUUCGGGUUGUAAAGCUCUGUCGUAAGGGAAGAUAAUGACGGUACCUUACAAGAAAGCACCGGCUAACUCCGUGCCAGCAGCCGCGGUAAUACGGAGGGUGCAAGCGUUGCUCGGAAUCACUGGGCGUAAAGAGAGCGUAGGCGGACAAUUAAGUCAGGUGUGAAAGCCCGGAGCUCAACUCCGGAAUUGCAUCUGAAACUGGUUGUCUAGAGUACAGGAGAGGAGAGUGGAAUUCCUGGUGUAGAGGUGAAAUUCGCUGAUAUCAGGAGGAACACCCGUGGCGAAGGCGGUUCUCUGGUCUGAUACUGACGCUGAGGCUCGAAAGUGUGGGUAGCAAACAGGAUUAGAUACCCUGGUAGUCCACAACUGUAAACGAUGAAUGCUCGACGUGUGUCCCGAUUUGCCGGACGCGUGUCCCAGCUAACGCAAUAAGCAUUCCGACUGGGGAGUACGAUCGCAAGACUAAACUCAAGAAUUGACGGGGCCGCACAAGCGUGGAAUUAGUGAUUAAUCGAGCCACCGCAAACGUAGCCAGUCUAAAAGUCUAAGGACCGACGGAACGUGGGGCUGCACUUUUCGGCAUUUAUGUAGCAGUGACUUGCA
rnacentral:rRNA from 1 species